rnacentral:lncRNA from 1 species
AUGGAGACACUUCCAGGAUUUUGCAGUCACUCGUGGUGUGAGAACAGGCGAUUUAUAAUGACUUGCGCAAAAAAGGCCCGUGCUGAGGAGGAAGUGCGAAUUCAAGGCCACAUCUCCUUAUUUCAUGAAUUUUACCCUAAGUCACUCUGGCCAGUGGACAUAGACUCCAUUACCUCUGUUUGUCCCUUUGCAGGCCUGCUGGUUGUGAGAAACAUGCCUCCCUUGUCUCCUGGGUUUGCAGCUGGAUGUCACAAGGAGAGGGGAAAGUUUGACCCUCACGGAGGCCAACCUGGGGGUUCCUUGAGCUAUGGUAAAGCUGCUAGAAAGCAUUCCUGCAAACUCUUUUAUGAUCAAUUUCUUCCUCUCUGUAUAUAUCCUGUAGGUGGACGGGCUGUAUCGCAUUGUGAGAACUACAAGAAGCAGAGAGCAAUGCAGCUUAUAGCAGGAGGGGUGAAAGAAAGAAAAAGAAAAGGAAGGAAAGAAGGAAGCAAGAAAAACAUUUAGAGAAUGCCUAGCCUGUCUCUAGAAAUCCUAAGGAGGCUGAAUUAAUCCCUUCCAAAGUCGCACAGGUAAUUUGGCAUAGCUGAAUUGUGAUUCAGUUGAUUUGUAAUUUCUAACAGAGUAAUUUUCCACUAUCAUUUCUUUUAUCGUUAUUAAUUAUUUUUGUGGGUUGCGUACAAUUUGCUUGAUGCAAUACUAAGUGUUGGGAAUACAAAGAUGAGUAAAUUAUCAUAUUUUAUUAUCAAAUCUCUUGCCUGAUUAACUGAGAGUUUUCCAUGCUUCAAGGUGACAAGCAACUCAUCAGUGCAAAUGUCUAAUAUGUGUGUUAAUAUGCUAGUCAUUCCUUCUCAGUGAUAUAACAUAUUAAUGGUUACAAUAGAAUGUCAGCAAAGAUGGCCCC